GAAAAGAAAGAGAGGAAAAGAGAAGAAAAAGAAAAAAAGAAAAAAGGAAAGAAGGAAAAAAAAUGCACUCUUAGAAUUCUGUUUUCUUCUCUUCCAGUAGGUGGUGUUGUGCAUUCCAGGUUGAGUCUCUGCCCUCAGGGUGGAGGAAGCAAUCUGUGUGAAGUGGCUUUCCCUCUCCUGCCAGGUGCCUCUCCAAUCCCGAUCUCUUUGGGUUGCUCCAGGUCUCUAUCCCCCUCCCCUCUC
rnacentral:lncRNA from 1 species